GUUGCGAAUUGCAACCAAUGGCUCAGUCCACCGCUCACCCCUCCCGAGAAGCCACGGUGGCCGACACAAGUAAAGAUGUCGUCUUUACACAGAUGAUGCUUCUGGGCGUAGUCCUGCGCUUUCUUCUGCGGAUUGUGCUGAGGCAACGUACGAAGCCCAUAGCCACUGAGUUGGUGCUAAUAACUGGCAAUACAAUUUAGAGGACCUCCCUGAUAAGGUGUCCAGAUGUAGUCACAGGGGUGUCCAUUCCUGCUCCUGGAGGGCCACUGUCCUGCAGAGUUUAAUGUGAAAAAUGUGCUGAAAAGAUACUCAUCCUCAGUCCAUCCAACUUCCAAGAUGUAGAUGAGUUUGUUUCUUCAUUACAUCAUUACAUUAUUAGGGUUGUUGUGUGGAGUGUUUUUUUUAUUCUACCAUGCUUGUUUUGAUGAGUUGUGAAGCCAAAAAUAAAUUUCCACUUGGAUAAUAAAGGAAAGAAA